rnacentral:rRNA from 1 species
CGACGACGGGUAGCCGGCCUGAGAGGGUGACCGGCCACACUGGGACUGAGACACGGCCCAGACUCCUACGGGAGGCAGCAGUGGNGAAUAUNGCACAAUGGGCGAAAGCCUGAUGCAGCAACGCCGCGUGAGGGAUGACGGCCUUCGGGUUGUAAACCUCUUUUAGUAGGGAAGAAGCGAAAGUGACGGUACCUGCAGAAAAAGCACCGGCUAACUACGUGCCAGCAGCCGCGGUAAUACGUAGGGUGCAAGCGUUGUCCNGAAUUAUUGGGCGUAAAGAGCUCGUAGGCGGUUUGUCGCGUCUGCUGUGAAAUCCCGAGGCUCAACCUCGGGCUUGCAGUNGGUACGGGCAGACUAGAGUGCGGUAGGGGAGAUUGGAAUUCCUGGUGUAGCGGUGGAAUGCGCAGAUAUCAGGAGGAACACCGAUGGCGAAGGCAGAUCUCUGGGCCGUAACUGACGCUGAGGAGCGAAAGCAUGGGGAGCGAACAGGAUUAGAUACCCNGGUAGUCCAUGCCGUAAACGUUGAGGCUGCUAGAUGUAGGG